GACGUAGGGCGCGAGCGUUGUCCGGAUUUAUUGGGCGUAAAGAGCUCGUAGGCGGCUUGUUGCGUCGACCGUGAAAACCCGUGGCUUAACUGCGGGCUUGCGGUCGAUACGGGCGGGCUGGAGUUCGGUAGGGGAGACUGGAAUUCCUGGUGUAGCGGUGAAAUGCGCAGAUAUCAGGAGGAACACCGGUGGCGAAGGCGGGUCUCUGGGCCGAAACUGACGCUGAGGAGCGAAAGCGUGGGGAGCGAACAGG
rnacentral:rRNA from 1 species